rnacentral:ncRNA from 2 species
UCACCGAAAAGGCAAACUUAUCGAAAGAUAAGGACGCAAAGCUAGAUAGGACCUAAACGAAAAUCGUAUGGUAGCCAGCUGUCGAA